rnacentral:tmRNA from 1 species
GGAGCCGCGCGCGUUCGCACACACCACCUGCACCAAAACCCUGGCUCGCGCCAGAGAUUUGGACGUCGCGAUGCGCGCCUGCUUGGUCUCGCCCGGCGUACCAAUCACAUGGGAUCGCGUAACGGUGCGUUCGUUAUGUUUGCGUUAAAUUCAAGCGGGCUCGCUGGUUGGUACGCUCGUCUGCCGGUGUACGGCCAGUCAAACCAAGGCGCAGACUAAGCAUGUAGAUCCGGUGCGCGGAGGGCUUGCGGACGCGGGUUCGACUCCCGCCGCCUCCACCA